CAGAGCUCAGGAUGUAUUUCCAAAUAGGCAUUGUCUUUGGGGAGUAUUUGCACUAUUGAUCUGAUUAAUAGGCGCUUAAUGAUAUCCAUUUGGUUAUCGACGGGGCAGACACUGAAUGCGUGCUGUGUGCCAGCCAGGUGCGGGCUGCACCAUGGAAAGACAGCCACCAGGGCUCUGUCCUCCCCGGGGCUUCUGGCCUGGGGGUGGGGAGGAGGGUGUCCCAGAAGGUAUUUGCACUCAGGACGCACACAGCUGCCCGGUGGGGAGGGGUUGCUGCUGAAUGAAAGCUGGCAGAGAGACCCUGGAGUGAUCAGGGAAAAUGAAAAGCAGGCUUUGAAGAAAUGAGCAGGAUGUGGAGAGGUGGACAGAGAAGACCUUUCAAGUGAAGACUCACACCUUUGGGCCGCGAUAGGCCAGGCUCUGGGAGAUGAUGAGACCGAGCAACCCCUGUGUCAGCUGGGCACCCCCAGCAUCCUUGUAUCAAGCAGAAUGUCCCCAACUCUCCCAAAAUCCGGCCAAAUGAGAACCCAGCCUCUUUUCUGCAUACAAGAGGCAACACACUCAAAUACCCACAGGCACUUGAUACACAUAUAUACUUGACUGAAGAUUUCUUAAGGAAAGUGCAAGAGGAGGUUCACCUUGUUCACACCACAUCAAACAAGGUAAAAAUCCAUCCUAGAUGUUCCCUUUUUGGCCCUGCUCCCCACUGGACAAUCUCCAUACGGGACAGCCGGUAUCACUGCACCCCUGCUCCCCCCCACUCUCCACACCCCUUGGAAGUCAGCACGUUCUCCUUGGGGUUUCUCUAUCAGCCCUGACAUGUGGCUCCCUUGGAUACUGUCUGCAAGCAAAUGUAUUUGUAAUGUUCACCCCCCCCAAAAAAAAAGAAAAGAAAACUGAGCUGAACAUAAUGUGUCAUCACGUACACACACAUCUAACAUGGACCUACAUAUUUCUUCUCAACAAGAUUAACUUUCUUGCUGUACUGAGCGCUCCUGCCCAUUUUCUAAAUGAUACUCUGCUGAUAUCUUUAAUCAUUCUGUGUGUCCGUUGCCAUAAAAGACGGGUAGCACGUGGCCAGGUGCUAGAGGCUGGGAUGCUUCCAUCAUCGGCUUUGAGUCUGUGGUGCUGUGGUUUUCAGUGGGAACGGAGGCAGAGGCGCUGGGCCCACAGAAUGGAGAGUCCUGCUCCCAGAAACGGCCUGGGCCGGCAGCCACAGAGCUGGUGACUCCCCGGGGGAAGUGGCCAGUCACCUGGCCCCUCUUGUCACAUCCCUGGGAGUUCGGCCACCAGAGACAAGACUCCCAUUGUAGGAUGUGUGACAACCCCGGAUUUUUCUCUUCUCCUCACUUUCAAGAUGGCAAGAGGCCGGGAAUGAAAGCAGGGCCUUCGACAGAAAAAGACUGUGGAGGGGCAGGUAGAUGAGCUGCAGAUCUGCAGAUGGGGUGUUUCUUCCCUGCCCCACUCUGCCCAGCCCCUUUCUCCCUCCCUCACCCCUCUGUUCUUCUCAGCUUCUAGCUCUUUACUGGGCAGGAAGGCCUGUGGGGCUGUUGUUUAGUCCUACACAGGCCCUGACUACCCAGAAGCCCUGUGUGUAAGCAGCCCCCCCCCACCAGCAGGUCUCCCCUUUACUCUCAGAGGCAGGGACUCAGCCCAGAGCCCAAUGGGACCCUCAGGUUACGGAGAUAGAGUGUGGCCUUUGAAGCAGAGAGUGUGGCACAGGUGUUCUCUGUCCCAAAUGUACCCUGCUACGCCCCUGGAGCUUUGUGAAGCCUCUCAUGCCUCAGUUUCCCCACCUGUAUGGCAGGUGACUUAGAACCUCUGGGUUGAAUGCUAAUGACAAUGGACUCAAACGUGGUGAUGUGUGUGCUUUACAGACUUGAGAGGUUUCACAAGCCUGCUAUGAUAGCCCGGCAGAGAAGAAGGGACGUAUGGCAGGACCCCCACCCGAGAGAGGGGAGGGCUGGGCAGAGAGGGAGGUAGAGAGAGAGAGAGAGAGAAAGAGAUGGGAAGGGGCAGCAUCCUCAUUCUGCCCUGUGGAGAGUAGGGAGAGGAAGAAGGGGAGGGAACAGGAUGUCAGCCGCAUGUAUUCUGACUUCCAUCUUCAGGCCCUCAGACAAGCUGAUGGAAAAGCCAACAGCAGAGGGCUUUCCCCCACCUGGAAGCCCAGGGAGGGAUACCACACGGGAUCGUCCUGCAGGGAUUGGGGGAUGCAGAUGUGCUGCUCUUGCCCCGCGGGGCCUCCUCCACCUGCUGUGCUGGGGACCCUUACCUUCCCACAGGUGAGGGGACCUGAAAAAACUGAGUCUGGGCUCCUGGCUCCUGGGUGAGGGGGAUGAGCAGGCCUCAGGGAGCAGGGUUCAACAAACAAAGCUCCACACCAGGGCCGCAGAUCACAGCCGUCACCCAGGCCUCCUAAAGAUGCCUUCAAGUUCACCAGCCAGGGGAGCACACGAGCCCCUCGGAACAGAGG